ACGCGGUCAUCUCAUUUGUUAGAGUAUCAGACUUUAAAUCUGAGAUGCAGAGGUUCAAGCCCCUGAUCACGCG
rnacentral:tRNA from 1 species